CGCGUAUCCAGUGCUCAGUGUCUUUAACCGCUUCCUGUGGAACUGUGAUUGUUCUCGUCAUCUGCUCUUGAAACAUCCUGGUUUGGGAUGAAGUGAAGAGAACACAGGUAAAAGGAUUGUUCCCACCCUGAAGCUUGGAGCUCAGUGGCACCCACAUUUCUGGAAAUGGUGCAGCCUCUGGGAACAGCUCUGUCGUGGGCGUGGUUGUUUCUUCAAGGGUCUCUAAUCUGUUCAGAGUGUAUUUCAUCCGUAUUGUUAUGUCAUCCUCGUCUGAACAGUUUGAAGUGCGAACUCCUGUGUCCCGUGGCCUCCCCCAGUCACUGCCACCUGCUGCAGCAGGGACGCUAGUCAGGUGCGAGGCCUCUUACUGGUUCAGUUGCACUCAUCUCGUGAGACAGAUAUAAAAAGAAUUCUGUUUUUGUCAGUGGAUGCCAACUUUAAAAUCUCAGAGCAUUAUUACCUUUUUGAAAUCGUGGGUCUUGCAUCUCUCUGUGGAACCAAAGAGCUCUUUGUGCCUCAGGGCCUUGCAUCUCACUGGAGUGCUCGAGCUCCUGCCCUCAGCUCACCUGAGCCAACAGACUUGGAUCCCUCGUCAGGGGGCCCAGCUUCCUGGCUCGUGACACAGAUCCUUACUCAUCCCCAGGACCCAAAGCCAUGGCGGGGGGCUAUUCCCGGCCAUACACCUUUGCCACCUUCAGCUGACCUCACAGGUGACAAAUCGUCCCCAGGGUCAAGGCCAGAAGCUAUAAGCUCCACAAAAUGAAGUAUCUGUCCCGAAAGCAUUCUAGAGAAGAAUCCUAAAGUCCAAAAAAGAGUGUCCUGUGAGUUCCAGAAUGCAUUCCUGUGAAUGGGUUUUGUGCAUAUGAAGUGGAUUAAGAAUGUUGUUCUGUGCACGUGAAGUGGAUUAAGAAUGUUGUUUUUCUUUCACUGUGAAACAAGGAGGCACCCUGCAAGGUUGCGUUCACAUCAUGUCUGCAAUUACUAGGAGGCUCGUAGGGGUGGGGAAGGUGCAUCUCAAGAACAUGAGGGUCUAAGAUGAAGGGCUGGAAACAGCAGGACUGUUCCCCAGUGCCAGGUGCCCACCGGAGUGAGGAAGGGAGAGGCCAGCUUCACUCCUGCUUGGGGCUAAUACCUCCAGAAGGCUCCUGCCUGGGCUGAGGGGAACCAACUGGUAGGGCAGCGCAACCUCUGGACUGAGGGGACAGGGCUGACUGCACCACAGCAAGCAGAAGCUCUCAGCUCUGGCCAGGUGCUCCGUGUCAGCCUCGCACCUGGAAGGUGGGAUUCAUGCACACACAAGUGCCACAGUCCUGCGUUGGAGCCCCACAACUCGGGGAAGGUGGGAGGAAGGGAAACGUGACAUUCAACUGCCCAUGAGACGCUUAAACUUCUGUAGGGAAGAGCAGGGCCAAAGGGAUCCAUAUGUCCCAUAGCAUACCAGAGCACACAGUGGCUCAGAGCAAGGCGGUGCUUGCCUGCUGGCCUCCCAGCAUCUGUGGGUUUUGUUUAGGCUUCAGAGGGUCUUGUUUCUCAUCUCCUUCCCCUUUGCCCCAUGAGCUAGCCCAGGGCACUGGAGACAAUUUAGGAAGUCUAGACAGCCCCAACUAGCAUCUCACUGUUCCUCCCACGGCCACACUCUGUACUUGGCCCCACUGCACCCUGGGGGGGUGGGCAUGAGAGCGCCCACUUCUCGGACGGGGGAACCUUUAGAGGAUAAACGCUUUGCCUUGCCGAGCCAGGAUUCAAACUCUUGUGCCUGGCUUGCACUUCCCACUGUACCUCCCUGCCUCACCUUCCUGGCAGAUGCUCCACCAUCCCUUGUACUUUAAAUGUCAAAGAGGCCAUGAGAGUGUGGGCUUUGAAUGUUUUUUGAAAGAACCUUCAUCUUGUUAAGCAGUAACUAAACUAGUGACAUGAAGUGCAAAAAAAAUGUUGAAUCCCCUUUUGAAAAAGUCCUUUCAGGUUUCUUGUCACGUAUAUUUCUUGGACACUUGUCAUCAAUAAGAAAAUAGUAGCUGGCUCGUGCUUAGCAAGAAGCAUAGUGGUACAUGGCUUUGGGUGCAGGAGGUGUAAGGUGAUGACCUGAGAUUUUGGCAAACACAGCCAGACUUAGACGUCCAUCUGAGGGCCGCUUUGCCUGGUUGCCGUGGUAAGGCCAUGGCUCCCACAUCUUGAAAGCAUAUUUUUGUGAACAUCAUCAGAGUCAGGAACAUAUUCAGUCAAAUGUCUUAAAUGCUGACAAAUCUUCCCCCUUUGACAGAAGUUUAUUUUCAGGAGCAGCUGAGUCAUUUAGAGCCAAAAUUGCUGAAUGGAUGGUGUCAUCAAGCUGGCUGAUAGCAAUGGAGGUCGAAAACUAAGACGUGACUGUUAAGUUCUUGAAGAGGUAACGCUUAAAGUUGGCCCAAACUGGAGGGCAGCACCUUUGCAAUACAAGGCUGGAUGGCUGCCGAGGAAAAUGUCUUUGAGUGAUGAUGUGAUGUGAAGGUUCCCAGGGCAGACACGUCACGGUCAUCCUUUCACGUGGCUUUUUGGGGCCUCCGUUAACCCAUCAUGCCCACUGGUGAAGUGCCCGAGUGCCCUGUAACUCUGAACUUCACCUGAAGAGACUAGAGCUGUCAGUCCAGUUGCUCCUGGCUUACUUAAACCUAACACGCCCAAAACUAGGAUUUUGACCCACAGUUCUAAGAGACACUGAUUUUGAAACUAGAGCACUUCUUUGGAGAGAGGAAGGAUGCAAAGUUCAGUAUUUCAUUUCCUCCUUGACAAAGCGUCCUUCUGAGGUUCUUGUGUGCAUUUUCGGAAACAGAGAUACAGUUUUGUAGAGCUGGCUUUUGAAUAUGUGUUCUUCACUCUUUGUCUUUUCUUAAAUCCCCAGAGAAGGAAACUGGUUAAAAUACUAGGAACAUUAAAGUAUUCCAUGUCAGUUAAUUUGUUGUGCUAAAGUCUCUUUUCAAUAGUGUUACAAUCCAUCCUAUUUAGUGUAAACUGCUCACAGAAAGGCCUGUGAAAACCGAAGGGGACAAUUACAGUCUAAAUAGAGGUCUUACUCUGGCUCUGUCCCCUCGGCAUUUUCAAAGAGGUGAUUUCAAAGGAUUUGCAUAUUAGAUUCUGGUUUUAUUUAUUUUUUUUUUUGGACAUGUAAUAAUGCACUUUAGGUGCAGAGUUCUUGGGUAGAAAGGAUGGGACCAGACAGGGAUGGGAUGGAACCAGUCUACCUGGGGAACUAACCCAGGUUUCUGUGUUACCUGGCCUGUUUCUUUAAAAAAAGAUCUUUUAUCAGGGGUUGCUGUGAGUUUUGUUAAUGUUUGUGUUGCUAGAUGUACGGUUAAAUGGAGCAUGUAGCUGGAAUAUUAACUUUCUGAGUGUUCACAUUGUCCUGAAUUUCUCUUUGCAAACCUUUAAACCUUAGCCCCUGGUUGAUUGUGUUAAAUCCAUUAUGAGAAUGUUAUUUAAAGUUGUAUUAUAAUUGCAACCUCCACUAAUUAUUCAGUACUGUAGCAGCAAAGUAUUAUUUGUAAGAAUUCGGUUAUUUUUAUACUUAUAUCCACUAUAAGUCUGGCGUUCUAGUCAGUAAAAUGAUGCAAUAAAAUAAAUAUUUUCA
rnacentral:lncRNA from 1 species